rnacentral:rRNA from 1 species
GACGAACGCUGGCGGCGUGGUUAACACAUGCAAGUCGAACGGAAAGACCCUGCUUUUGUGGGGUGCUCGAGUGGCGAACGGGUGAGUAACACGUGAGUAACCUGCCCUUGACUUUGGGAUAACUUCAGGAAACUGGGGCUAAUACCGGAUAGGAGCUCCUGCUGCAUGGUGGGGGUUGGAAAGUUUCGGCGGUUGGGGAUGGACUCGCGGCUUAUCAGCUUGUUGGUGGGGUAGUGGCUUACCAAGGCUUUGACGGGUAGCCGGCCUGAGAGGGUGACCGGCCACAUUGGGACUGAGAUACGGCCCAGACUCCUACGGGAGGCAGCAGUGGGGAAUAUUGCACAAUGGGCGGAAGCCUGAUGCAGCAACGCCGCGUGCGGGAUGACGGCCUUCGGGUUGUAAACCGCUUUCGCCUGUGACGAAGCGUGAGUGACGGUAAUGGGUAAAGAAGCACCGGCUAACUACGUG